rnacentral:rRNA from 1 species
ACGAACGCUGGCGGCGUGCUUAACACAUGCAAGUCGAACGGAAAGGCCUGCUUUCCCUUGUGGAUUGCGGGUACUCGAGUGGCGAACGGGUGAGUAACACGUGAGUGAUCUGCCCCCAACUUGGGUAUAAGCCUGGGAAACUGGGUCUAAUUCCCGAUAGGACUGCAGGGUGGUGCCUGUGGUGGAAAACGAUUUUCUAGUGGUUGGGGAUGAGCUCGCGGCCUAUCAGCUUGUUGGUGGGGUAAUGGCCUACCAAGGCGGCGACGGGUAGCCGGCCUGAGAGGGUGGACGGCCACAUUGGGACUGAGAUACGGCCCAGACUCCUACGGGGGCAGCAGUGGGGAAUAUUGCACAAUGGGCGGAAGCCUGAUGCAGCGACGCCGCGUGGGGGAUGACGGCCUUCGGGUUGUAAACUCCUUUCGACCGCGAGGAAGCCACCUGGUUGGAAGGGUGGUGACGGUAGUGGUAGAAGAAGCACCGGCUAACUACGU